ensembl:lncRNA
UGUACAUUUCCUGUAUAGAUUUUGUAACAGAACCUUUACACUAAACUUGCAGAAGGAGAGCCAGCAUCCAGAACAUUUUCAGGCUCUUCUGGAUCACCACAGGACCAUGAUCCACUUUUUCAUGAUGACUGGCAAGAACUUUUAGCAGAGAGGAAGCUAAGUAUCUCAGCACUCACCAGAGAUGAGAUCAGCCAGAGCUGUGAAACUUCACGUCACAUACAAGAUGUAAACCACAGUGAUGUAGACCCCGUGCUGUCAGAAGACCUCCUAACGAAGGAGCUGAGCUGCAGUGCCACCUCCCUGCGAUCAGCUGUGUUCCAGAGGUCUCCUACACCUUGUCACGCAGAGCUGGUCAAAAACUCAGUCGUCAUAUGCACAGCCCCAUCUCCGCCUGACCAAGUCAUCGUAAUUCAUUCAGAAACUCUUCCUGAUACCAUAAUAUUCCACACUAUAGGAGCAGUCUCCUCUGAAUCAUCAAGUGGGUCUAGCUCGGCCUUUAGACCUCCCACUUCAGACCAGGACCAUGUUAGGGAAUCCUGUGAUGCAGGUGCUUUUGCUGAUGUGGUGAUAUAUAACAAAGUACCAUCGGUUGGGGAUCUCCCUUACCCUCUGUCCAUCUCCGAAGAUCUCUCCUCCCCAGCCAUUGGUUUGGAUUUGGACCAAGCUGAAGCUGCUCAAAAUGAGAUCAGCGAAACGGACCCGUCAGCAAAAGUAAUACCCUGCAUGCUCAGCACAAAGAUUCAGAAGGAAGUUACUGAAGUUGUAAGCGAGACAAGGGUGAAGUGGAAAUCUGCAACAGCCUCUCCAAAAAUAUCCUUUACUACAGUUCAUAAACAGGUGUCGGACACUGCAGUAAUGAAGCUGCUGAGACCUUGUAUGCUAGGGUUGUCUGAUGACUCUGGUGUGGACAGUUACGUAAGGGUUACUGAAGUGGUGACAGAAACUUCAGAAAAAGAAGCCGAAUCCAGAGUGCCUCAAAACACACCAGUGCCUGCAGGUGAAUCCACUGUAUGAAAGGCAGGAAGAACAU